GUGAGGGGGAGACCUAGGCAUGGCAGGGGGAGCUGCAGGGCCAUUGGAGGGGCCCCAGUGUCUGAGCCCUGUCCUCUUGCAGG
rnacentral:pre_miRNA from 1 species